rnacentral:rRNA from 1 species
UUAUUCCGGUGAAAAUUUUGUUUUGCUAACUACUUGAGGACUACGAUUACUUAAAACUCAAGGGACAUGGCGGCUAGUCAACUAAUUAGGGGAACAUUUGUCUUAAUACGAAAGUGCGCGAUUUAUUAGACCAUAUCUUGAACAGCUAGUGUAUUGCCGUUGUCAACUAAUGAUGAGAUUGAUUGCCCUAUGAAUUCAGGUCAAAGUGCUGCUUAUGGUAUGGGGAUUAGGUGUUACACGAUACGGAGAGAAUAUUUAUUACUUGUGAAAUGUAAGGGAA